rnacentral:misc_RNA from 1 species
CACAUUUGUGUACAGCUGUUCUGGUUCGCCGGGGUGCGAUGUGCGCUGUGUUGUAUAUGUAGUGGUUAAAUAAGCGUGUUUUGGCUGUAUUUUCGCUAUUUUUAGCCUGACUGUCUCUCAACAUUGUAAAUUUAGUGGGCAAAUUUAAAACAUUACCUUCCUCUAUCAGAAGUCAUGCACAUCUAUCUGGUAGUAUCAGUGCUAGUGGUGCACAUGGUGCAGGCUGAGUAUCGCCAGCCUCCAGGUGUCAACCCGAACCACUACCAGCAGCCUGGUCAGGUACCUCAGCAGCAGCAGCAGCAAUUCCAACAGCCUCCACCCCAGCAGCAGCAAUUCCAGCAGCCACCUCCUCAACAACAGCAACAGUUCCAGCAGCCACCUCCUCAACAACAGCAGCAAUUCCAGCAGCCGCCUCCCCAGCAGCCACAGCAGGGUGUUCCGCAGCAGCAGUUCCAGCGCACGGACGGUCACGGCCACGGCGGUCACGGUCAGCAGCAGGCCAUUCUCAGGGACAAACAGCAAAUCACCGCCGAAAAAGAUCACAUCAAGGAGCACCUGGGGGCGCCGAUCGACACGUCCAAAAUGUCCGAGGAAGAGCUGCAGUUCCACUACUUCAAGAUGCACGACGCCGACGGCAACAACAAGCUGGACGGCCUCGAGCUGGUGGCCUCGCUGCAGCACUGGCACGACCAGUCCAACCACGAGCCCGGCCACCCGGUGCCCGAGAAGAAGAUCUUCACCGACCAGGAGCUGUUCGAGCUGAUCGAUCCCAUCAUCGACCAGGACGACCGCAACCGGGACGGCUACAUCGACUACUCCGAGUUCAUGUUGGCGCAGCAGAACCAGCCGCCGCCGCCGCCGCAGCAGCAGCAGCAGCAGCAGCAGCAGCACGGCAUGCCCGCCUAGGUGUGAGUGCGGUGCACAGACUCGGUGACUGCCAGCUCAGGCCAGCCGGGGGAUGGACGGGGGUGCUCGGACGCACAGACAGAGGUCUCUGAGGAAGGAGAGGGCGGUGCCCAGGCGGGAUAGGUGUCAGGUGAUCGGGAGUAGGGUGUAGGUAUGUGGAGUGACCGGAGCCGGCGGCUGCGGAGCGCCGGCCGGGGACGGGCUGCUGUCCCCGCCCGGUCAGUAUGUGGUCCCGAACAGACCGCUGUCCCGGCCGCUCGGUGUCUGGUGAUGUGUCUGAUCUGACGAAGCUGAUGACAGCCGCGCUGAUGACCGUCUGACGGCUGAGCGUCGUCUGUGGGUGGCACCAAUCAGCGCCAGUCUAGGAUACAUGUUCAGGAUGUGACGCUGAUCCUCAUAUGACGCCGACUGCGCGAGAUGCAUCUAUUUUUAUAACGCAUGAGCGGGAUUGCGUGGAUAUUAUCAGAAAUUAUAUUUGGAAUUAUUUGCGGAAGAUAGCAGGGUCGCAUGUUUCAAAUUAAAUGAGGUAUGGUGCUCGUAUUACCAUAUAUGGUUUUGCACAACGAUGCGUAUAUUGGAAUGCUUUGGACGUAUUUCUGCGCUUCCAUAAACAGUCUUUGGCUAUUCCUCAUGAUGUAAUCAGAUGAGCUUAACGUUGCACAGAGACCACUUUUCCCUUGUGUCGAAACACGAAUAAUUGGCGAUGACGUGUUCAAAAGUGCAGAGCGCAUGGCAACUUAAUCAAAUGACAUUUUCGCUAUUCAUUGUUCGUUUGAUGCCUGAGCUGCUUUAUUUGCAUUUUUGUCUUCAUUCAUUUGCUAUUUGCGCUGUUUUUCCUUCUGUUUUUUUUUUUUUUUUGCAUUUUGUUCGAUGUUUCAAAUGCGGCUGUCCUGAGAUUAUGGUAACGUUCUGUUUGCACCUUUCGCUACAAUUUUGUUGAGAUUACUUGAGUUUUUUUUAUUCGUUUCUUUUUGGCAUAGGUGUUAUUUUGAAGGUGAAUGUGAAUCCCGUAACAAAAAAUAUUUGCGUUUACGCCGUAGCAUUGCGCGUGAUUUCGACUACAUGGCUCGAAACAGUCGUAGUUCGGCUAUUUACUUUUUUAUUAACAUGAAGGUUAAAUUUCGCCGCUCAUGUAUGCGUUUGCUCGAGUAUUGGGCCGGUCCGUGUUUUUGUAAUCACGGUUCAUGCUCCCCUUCGUCUAUAUUUGCCCGUUGGCCCAUUGCUGGUUACAACUAUGUGCAAUGCCAGGGAUAGGACCUUAUGCUCGUGCCCCAGUUGAGAUCGGGCACCUGCCGGCAGGCGACCAUUCCAAUUGCGAGGUUCGUGUGCACGCCCUUUAGUGUUGUGGCGGUGCGACGUCUGGUGUCUGUUAUGUGAAUGUGAGAGGCGCUCCUUUGUCCGUGAGCAGCCACUCCAUCCGUUCUCGUAAUUGGCGACCGCGGUGCGUGUGGGAAGAUCGUUUAGAUGGUUGUUCGUCACAAAUAUAUGGUCGGUUUUUGUUA